CCUACGGGAGGCAGCAGUAGGGAAUAUUGCUCAAUGGGGGAAACCCUGAAGCAGCAACGCCGCGUGGAGGAUGAAGGUUUUAGGAUUAUAAACUCCUUUUGUUAGAGAAGAUUAUGACGGUAUCUAACGAAUAAGCACCGGCUAACACCGUGCCAGCAGCCGCGGUAAUACGAAGGUGGCAAGCGUUAUUCGGAAUCUCUGGGCGUAAAGAGUGCGUAGGCGGGGUAAUAAGUCAGAUGUGAAAUCCUGUAGCUUAACUACAGAACUGCAUUUGAAACUGGUACUCUGGAGUGUGGGAGAGGUAGGUGGAAUUCUUGGUGUAGGGGUAAAAUGCGUAGAGAUCGAGAGGAAUACUCAUUGCGAAGGCGACCUGCUGGAACAUUACUGACGCUGAUGCACGAAAGCGUGGGGAGCAAACAGGAUUAGAUACCCCGGUAGUC
rnacentral:rRNA from 1 species